rnacentral:rRNA from 1 species
AGUGAACGCUGGCGGCAGGCCUAACACAUGCAAGUCGAACGGCAGCACAGUAAGAGCUUGCGCUUACGGGUGGCGAGUGGCGGACGGGUGAGGAAUACCUCGGAAUCUACUUUUUCGUGGGGGAUAACGUAGGGAAACUUACGCUAAUACCGCAUACGACCUACGGGUGAAAGCAGGGGAUCUUCGGAUCUUGCGCGAUUGAAUGAGCCGAUGUCGGAUUAGCUAGUUGGCGGGGUAAAGGCCCACCAAGGCGACGAUCCGUAGCUGGUCUGAGAGGAUGAUCAGCCACACUGGAACUGAGACACGGUCCAGACUCCUACGGGAGGCAGCAGUGGGGAAUAUUGGACAAUGGGCGCAAGCCUGAUCCAGCCAUACCGCGUGGGUGAAGAAGGCCUUCGGGUUGUAAAGCCCUUUUGUUGGGAAAGAAAAGCAGCAGGUUAAUACCUCGCUGUUCUGACGGUACCCAAAGAAUAAGCACCGGCUAACUUCGUG